CAAUGCCGCGUGAGCGAAGAAGGUCUUCGGAUUGUAAAGCUCUGUUGCCGGGGAAAAAGGAAGGAAAGAGGAAAUGCUUUUCUUUGGAUGGUACCCGGCCAGAAAGUCACGGCUAACUACGUGCC
rnacentral:rRNA from 1 species